GCCUACGGCCAUACCAGUCUGAAAGUGCCUGAUCUCGUCAGUCUCAGAAGUCAUGGAGACUUGUGCCUGCUUUGUACUUGUAUGGGAGACCAACUAGGAACCUCAGGUGCCGUAAGCU
rnacentral:rRNA from 1 species